UACGUAGGGGGGCUAGCGUUGUCCGGAAUCAUUGGGCGUAAAGCGCGUGUAGGCGGCCAGAAAAGUCCGCUGUGAAAACUCGAGGCUCAACUUCGAGCUGUCGGUGGAAACUUUCUGGGCUAGAGUCCGGAAGAGGAGAAUGGAAUUCCCAGUGUAGUGGUGAAAUACGUAGAGAUUGGGAAGAACACCAGUGGCGAAGGCGGCUAUCUGGACGGUUUCUGACGCUAAGACGCGAAAGCGUGGGGAGCAAACAGG
rnacentral:rRNA from 1 species